CUGUUCAAGACAGCCCAACAAACUGCUUCAAAAUGGUCUUUUCUGACCUCUUAACUUUGGAAUGCUACAGACGGCAUCCAAAAGAGAGGUAAAUAAAGCUUUUUAUGGUUCACUGAGGACAAUCAACUCCUUCACAAUCUAGAACCCGAAGAUUGAAUAUUCUGUGACCAUCAGAGAAAGACUGUCCUUGCCAUCCACACUGCAACAAAACUUUGGAAACCUGUACCUUGGAUUCAUAACCAAACAACUGAGAAGGGUCCCUCCAUACUCUUGGAAUUGUGCACCCAUUGGAACCCUUAAGGUAAAAUGAACCAAGAAAGUUUCUCCCCAGAAGAAGAUGGAAUACUUGAUGUGAACAGCUUUUCCCAAGAUCACGAAUCAAGACUUCUACUAUCAUGAGACUCUUAUCUUUGGAUAUUUUUUACUUGUUUAUGCCUCUAUGAAUAAUAGAAAUAGAAAGGGGGUCUAUUAUGUGCACUUAGAGGGUAUAUUUUUAUUUGUGUAGGA